rnacentral:rRNA from 1 species
AGAGUUUGAUCAUGGCUCAGAAUGAACGUUGGCGGCGUGGAUUAGGCAUGCAAGUCGAGCGAGAACCAGUCUUCGGAUUGGGGACAGCGGCGAACGGGGUAGGAAUACCUCGGUGACGUACCCCCCGGUCGGGGAUAGCGGCGGGAAACUGCCGGUAAUACCCGAUAAUCUUCCCAAGUUUUACGACAGGGGAAGCAAAGGUGUGAUUCCGUCGGGGGAGCGGCUGAGGUCGUAUUAGCUAGUUGGUAAGGUCACGGCUUACCAAGGCGAUGAUGCGUAGGGGGUGUGAGAGCAUGGCCCCCACCACUGGCACUGAGACACUGGCCAGACACCUACGGGUGGCUGCAGUCGAGAAUCUUCCGCAAUGGGCGCAAGCCUGACCGAGCGACGCCGCGUGCGGGAUGAAGGUCUUCGGAUUGUAAACCGCUGUCGGAGGGGAUGAAAUGCCGGUGGGUACUCCCAUCGGUUUGACAGAGCCUCGGAGGAAGCACGGGCUAAGUUCGUGCCAGCAGCCGCGGUAAUACGAACUGUGCGAACGUUAUUCGGAAUCACUGGGCUUAAAGGGUGCGUAGGCGGCGGCUCAAGUCAGGUGUGAAAUCCCCCGGCUCAACCGGGGAACAGCGCUUGAAACUGGGUGGCUCGAGUGAGGCAGGGGUGCAUGGAACUUCCGGUGGAGCGGUGAAAUGUGUAGAGAUCGGAAGGAACGCCGGCGGCGAAAGCGGUGCACUGGGCCUUGUCUGACGCUGAGGCACGAAAGCUAGGGGAGUGAACGGGAUUAGAUACCCCGGUAAUCCUAGCCGUAAACACUGAGCACUGGAGGGGAGGGGCCUUGCGCCUUUUCCCUCGCAGCGAAAGCGUUAAGUGCUCCGCCUGGGGAGUAUGGUCGCAAGGCUGAACUCAAGGAAUUGACGGGGGCUCACACAGCGGUGGAGCAUGGUGGCUUAAUUCGAGGCAACGCGAAGAACCUUAUC